CCCAAAAGGCCCCAGCAGCCCCCCAAAAGUCCCGGCAGCUCACAGCACUCACUUGUCCCCCAUGAAGGCCCCAAAAGCCCCCCAAAAGGCCCCAAAAGGUCCUGGAAGAUCCCCAAAAAGCCCCCCAGAAGGCCCCGAUAGCCCCCCAAAAGGCCCUGAUAGCCCCCCAAAAGGCCCCAGAAGCCCCCAUGAAGGCCCCAAAAGCCCCCCAGAAGCCCCCCUGCAGUCCCCCAAAAGGCCCCGAUAGCCCCCCAAAAGUCCCCCAAAAGGCCCCAAAAGGUCCUGGAAGAUCCCCAAAAAAGCCCCCCAGAAGGCCCCGAUAGCCCCCC
ensembl:lncRNA